GCAGUCGCCGCGGGAAUACGGAGGAUCCAAGCGUUAUCCGGAUUUAUUGGGUUUAAAGGGUGCGUAGGUGGCCUGUUAAGUCAGGGGUGAAAGACGGUAGCUUAACUAUCGCAGUGCCCUUGAUACUGAUGGGCUUGAAUGAACUAGAGGUAGGCGGAAUGUGACAAGUAGCGGUGAAAUGCAUAGAUAUGUCACAGAACACCAAUUGCGAAGGCAGCUUACUAUGGUUUUAUUGACACUGAGGCACGAAAGCGUGGGGAUCAAACAGGAUUAGAUACCCGAGUAGUCCCUGUCUCUUAUAC
rnacentral:rRNA from 1 species